UGUAGCAAUAAUUGUGGGGUUGUUUGAAUUCCUAGGGUAUAGCUUUGCGCUUUCAACAGUUCACUAGGUUGUGUUACUGUCCAAUGUGUCAUUUCUGAUAGUUUGUGAGGAUUCAGCUUAUUUAGUCUUUACAUUAAUUUUGUCAUAAAGUCACUUAAUGCAUGCAUCUGCAGGGCGUCGUGAAUUCAAUAAGGUUUCCUACAACGCAGUGAUUCUGUGUUCAUAAUGAGAUUAGUUCGUGUUGAUGUUGUAGUUAUUAAGGUCUAAACAUUCUUGUUCCUUCUAUUGACAUCGUCCUUAAUUUCACUCAGUUUUAUUCAGGGAUUGAUGAUGAUCCCUGGUAAGGAUAAAUACGUAGGAUAAAUAAGUGUAGGAAAUUACUUUUUUGGGGUUUGCUAGUGUUCUUUUAUCCAUCCAUCUUAAUUUAGUGAUUUAAUCGGCUUCAAAUUCAAUGGACAGUUAUCUGUCUAUUGAGGGGGGAAAAAUGUAAUGUAAAAAAUUGUUUUGAUUAUUGUGUUAGGUCCGUCCUUAGUAACUGGGGAACUUGUUUGUGUGGCAUCUGCUGUGAGAAUGGGCUAUUCUGUUUCUGUUGUGUUUUAUUUUGGUGAACUUAAUCCAUGGGGGAAAGGUUGUGGUCGAGUUGGCACAAAAUUUGAUUUGGUAUAUACUGUAAAUAGCUUACGCUACAGAGGAGUAUGACUCAUUGUGGAGUGAUAGGUAAAGUGACAGGAGCAGGGUAUGUGAGGGAGAAAAGGAGUUAAGGGAAGUCAAGGAGUGAAUGAAAAGGAAAGUGUAAAUGUGACAAUGACAAUAGAGGGAUGAAAAAGUACUGUGAACAUUGCAUUUCAGUGUGUAGCUUGUAAAAAUAUGCUGAUACAUAGACUAACAUUGCAUGAAACUUUGCUUGAUAAAAUAGUGUUUAAUGCAUCAACCAAGUUUCUAUGUGAAACAGAUGAUUAAUAUACGCAGGAAAGCUGUGCUGUUCCAUUGCAGGAAAGAAGAGGACAAAGAAGAUCAAACUCCGGAUCACUGAUGGGCCCUGAGUGACACUGCUGACUCAUUUAGCAGAACAAGGUCACAGGCUAGCCUUUCUAAAUUAUAGUUCUCAUACAGCAAGAGGUUUCUCUCUUAGCUCACGUGCACAACAAAAACCCUGAGCUCAUGACAUGACUGACUGAUAUUGUAUAUGCUCUACGGACUGACUAUGACACAUGUCAAUGAUGUUUUAUUGUUGUUGAUUUUAUAUAAUGAGGGUUUAACCAUUUUCAUUCUCCAUCUCAGUGUGUUGUUGUACACAGGAAGCUCACAUUAACAACUUCAACCCUUCUCUCUACACAGAACAGCAGUGGAGAAACUGUGUCAGCAUAAACAUCUCAAACUAAUUUUCUUUCCUAACCAACUUCUCUCCUACUCUUAACCUCCAUCCACAGGUUACUUCAGUAUCAGAGGAGGGUGUGUCUUAUGACCUGCUACGACUGUGGGUUUUUAUAUUCUCUGAUCUUUUGAUUUCUACAGUGACGACCUGGAAAUCUUUGCCAUGAUUGAAGAAAAGAGAAUACACGACAUUCACUCAGCACGUCAUCUGUCGGGGCCUUACCCUUGAUGUACUUAUGGAUCUUGGAUGUUUCAUUCCGGAUAGUGGCUCUCACGCUCACUAGUACUCAGCCUCCUUCCUUGCGGCUAGCGUACAGUCUCAGGGUGCUGGAUUUGGGGUGGAACCCUACAUGCAUGGUGAGGAGCUUUCGUGUCUUAACAUCUGUGGUCUGUAUCUCUUCCUUUGGCCACCUUAUUAUUCCCGCAGGGUAUCUGAUCACUGGCAGGGCAUAGCUGUUUAUUGCCCGGGAUUUGUUCUUGCCAUUGAGCUGGCUUCUUAGGACUUGCCUUCCUCGUUGGAGGUAUUUGGCUGUUGCCGCAUUCCUUGUUGCCUGUUCAAGGUUGCCGUUUGCCUGUGGUAUUCCAAGGUACUUGUAAUUGUCCUCAAUGUCUGCUAUUGUUCCUUCUGGGAGUGAGACCCCUUCUGUGUGGAUUACCUUGCCUCUCUUUGUCACCAUCCUCCCACAUUUCUCGAGCCCGAAUGACAUCCCAAUGUUCGAGCUGUAGAUCCUGGUGGUGUGGAUCAGCGAGUCGAUGUCUCGCUCACUCUUGGCGUACAGCUUGAUGUCAUCCAUGUAGAGGAGGUGAAAACAAGCGUCAGGACCAUUACACCAUCCAACCAGGGCACUGGGCGAUCGUUAAAGAGUUCAGGAGGAAGCACUAGAAUUCCAAACGGUGGCGAGGUCCCUUCCAGGUCCUUCUGACGACCCACACAGCUGUGAAGGUCGCAGAGAGAGCAACUUGGAUCCACUCCAUCCACUGCAGGAAGGUACCGGAUCCGACAGACAACCCUCCGUCUACACCGCAUGGAAAACCCACCAGAAAUGAGGAGACGUGAGAAGGACGACCCUCGCUGUGCUCAUACACACUGAGGCGAGGCUGUGUUGACCGUUCAGCUAAAGGUGUGAGCCAUACAUUUACACACACGCUCCUGAAAAAACACACAAACGAGCAGCCUUGAGUUGCCGACGCUGGACGACGUGUGGACUCUUCACAUCACAGGAGUGACAGUGACGCAGGCGACACGGUGAUAACAAAUCCCAAGUGUCUCUGUGAUCAGCUGAUCACAACCUGAAGGACUCCAACAAACUGUCAAUGUGUCAACACACAGGUUGGAAACAAUCUAAUGCUACUGUUCAACAGGACGAAGCAGAUUGUUAUGAGGCAUCAAUUGUAACCCUGUUGUUUUAGACUUCAUUUUGUGUUAUUUUGGUUAUUACCUUAAUCAUAUGGAUGACAUAAAUGAUGUUUCCAUGUAACUUUACACACUACCUUUGAAGAAGAAAAUUUCACAACAACACUGAGUUUAAAUAUCCUAAAGUUGAUUUAGUGUUUAAUUUGCUUACAUUCACUUUAUUCACUGCUACAAUUAGUAUUUAUCCUUUAUGUACAGAUGAUAGAGGUUAUAGGACAACACGAGCAGCAAUAUGCAUCAUCAUUCUAGUUAGUCCCUGUUUCUCCUAUUCACUCUAGACCUAAAUAUACAAAUGAAAGCAUGAAAACUAGCUCAAAUUAUAUGCAAAAGAACCCCAUCUGAAAUUUAUGCCUAACGUACAUUAAUUGUUUUUAUAACAAUCAAUGGCGUUUCAUUAAUGUUAAACAUGAAGGCCCCAACAAAAACAGCUCCAAACCUUCCCAGCGGGCACACAACCGACCUUCAACGUAACAUUGAAACAGCGUUAAUUUUAACAGUUGUAAAAAGGGUGACAAAUACUAAUAAAUCAACAUUGACAUAUGGUUAAAAUACUGACAGUUAUGUUUGUAAUGUUGAUGUAACAUUUAAACAACAUUUGAUGCGAACUGUUGUAAAAAGGUUGACAAAAUACUGAUAAAUCAACGUUGACAUAGGGUGGAAAUAAUGUCAGUUGUUUCUGUGGCAUUGAGGAAACAUUAAAACAACGUUUGAUGCUAAAGGUUGUAAAAAGGCAAAAAAAUCCCUUACAUUAAAUUAAAAAUUAUUAAAGUUAAAAUGACAGAUUGUCUUUAACAUAUAUUAUUAAUCAGACUUUACUUACUGUACAUGUAAAUACUUAUUUAAAUUAAUAUUUUUGAACUUAAGUGUCCUGAUUUUUUAAAUACUGUAUGUUUAAAUAUGCAGAAUUUAUGAAAAUUAUCUAAACGUGUGUUUUGAUUUUUGUCCUUAGAUGCUGUCAUCACAAAUUAUGAUACUACAUCAUCAAAUGUAUGGAAGACAAUGAAAACAUAUACACAGAAUUGUUGGGUGGGGGUGGUGGAACAAACAUACUGUAGAACUAAGUGUUUCUGUUCCACUUGGUCUUCCAGCAGACAGGUGACGCUGUUUCAUUCAGUGUUUGCUCUGUUUGUUCAUUUGUUGUCAUGUGAUUUUCAGGUUUGGUUCCUGUUUGUAAUAGAGGUAACUUGUUUUACAUGUGGGAUUAGUUUGGUAAGUUAGUUUGAUUCAUGUUCACUUAUUAUCAGUUUCAAUGUCAAUGACAGUGUGAGUUGCAUAUUGAUGAUGCUACAUUUAGCUGACUUAAAUGUUAUCUUUACAUUUUUAUUUGCAUAUUCAUUGUGUCUGUAUUUAUUUAAUGUUCAAUGCUGGUCUGGAACAAAAUUUCAUGCGUUCUGUCUGAACAUAUUUUAUAGGUGCACAAAGGUAAGCAUGUGAAAGAAAGUGGCAGUAAAAGACAAGAUGCUAAAGUUACACAGUGUAUGUUUUGAUGUAUUUGACGAUUCCAUUUCCCCUUAUGUGUGUGUGCAGCCAUUGAGGUAUGAUUAUUUAACAUUUGUUUCCUGUCGUUCAUUAAUUUAUGUACUUACAUACUGUUUUUUUCUUAUAAUAAAUGCUUAGCGUGUUACGUAUAUGUUGUAGUUUGACGUGGACAGUGGUGGAUUUUGGUGGAUGACAAAAGAAAAUAAGGAGCACUAAGCACGGCUCAUCAACCAGGCGGCAUGUGGACACCAGAGCGUCCACAUUGUCAUGCUACCUGACCAGUCUGUAUCAACACUAUAGGCUUAAAUUUGGUGAUUACUCAAUUGAUAAUUCCAUCUCAUUCCUCGUUUGGAUCCACCUGCAGCUGUUUACGGAUUAAACCCCUGAGGACAUCUCUGCCUCCUCCCCCUCUCCAUUGGCUCCCACACCUGUCCCGGACUCCUGGCAGCUCCUCUCCUCUUUGGACUCCUUAGCUCCUGAUGUGAGCUUCCAUAGGCCCCGUUUCACCUCUGAACUCCAACAAUAAAUAUUGCCUGUUCUGCAACUA